rnacentral:misc_RNA from 1 species
GAUGAAGAACGUAGCGAAAUGCGAUAAGUAAUGUGAAUUGCAGAAUUCAGUGAAUCAUCGAAUCUUUGAACGCACCUUGCGCUCCUUGGUAUUCUGAGGAGCAUGCCUGUUUGAGUAUCAUAAAAUUGUCAACUGUGUCACUUUUAUAGUGAUUUACAGAUUGGAUAUGGGUGUUUUUGCAGGCCUAGUUUGUCAGCUCUCCUGAAACACAUUAGCAGUGCCUUGUUGGUCCUUGGGUGUGAUAAUUUAUCUAUGCCUUGACGUGUACCUUCAUGAAGGUUGUGCUGCUUCCAAUGGUCUUUGGACACAUUUAUUGAAGAUUUGAUCUCAAAUCAGGCAGGACUACCCGCUGAACUUAAGCAUAUCAAUAAGCGGAGGA